CACGUAGGGGGUGAGCGUUGUCCGGAAUCAUUGGGCGUAAAGGGCGCGUAGGUGGCGGGACAAGCGUGCGGUGAAAGCUCGGGGCUCAACCCCGAGUCGGCCGUGCGAACUGUCUUGCUUGAGCACUGUAGAGCAGGCGGAAUUCCGGGUGUAGCGGUGGAAAUGCGUAGAGAUCCGGAAGAACACCGGUGGCGAAGGCGCCUGCUGGGCAGUUAGCUGACACUGAGCGCGACAGCGUGGGGAG
rnacentral:rRNA from 1 species